rnacentral:misc_RNA from 1 species
UGGCUUUAAGCUUUCUCCUUUUGGAUCCUGCAGGUGGUUGGCUCACAGUAGGUUCAUUCAGCUCGUCCUCUGCCUCAAUUGCUUCAGGUUUGGGAAUCUGAAAUUCCCACUGAACGCCACAAGUUGGACAAACUAUUUUACCCUUGCUUUGGGAAAAUUUUUUCUUCAGGCAGUAAUGAUGAAUUCGCAGCAUACAACCUUCAUUUUGGCAUACUUUUGCCUUUAUUGCAGCUUCAUUGCAUACUUCACAUGUUGGAAUGCCAGAAUUAUGAAACCAACUUCGCAAAUCAAGGUAGGAUUUGACACCAAG